rnacentral:rRNA from 1 species
UGGGGAAUCUUGGACAAUGGGGGCAACCCUGAUCCAGCCAUGCCGCGUGAGUGAUGAAGGCCUUAGGGUCGUAAAGCUCUUUCGCCUGUGAAGAUAAUGACGGUAGCAGGUAAAGAAACCCCGGCUAACUCCGUGCCAGCAGCCGCGGUAAUACGGAGGGGGUUAGCGUUGUUCGGGAAUUACUGGGCGUAAAGCGCACGUAGGCGGACCAGAAAGUUGGGGGUGAAAUCCCGGGGGCUCAACCCCGGAACUGCCUCCAAAACUAUUGGUCUAGAGUUCGAGAGAGGUGAGUGGAAUUCCAAGUGUAGAGGUGAAAUUCGUAGAUAUUUGGAGGAACACCAGUGGCGAAGGCGGCUCACUGGCUCGAUACUGACGCUGAGGUGCGAAAGUGUGGGGAGCAAACAGGAUUAGAUACCCUGGGU